rnacentral:rRNA from 1 species
GACGGAGGAUGCAAGUGUUAUCCGGAAUCACUGGGCGUAAAGCGUCUGUAGGUGGUUCAAUAAGUCAACUGUUAAAUCUUGAGGCUCAACUUCAAAAUCGCAGUCGAAACUAUUAAACUAGAGUAUAGUAGGGGUAAAGGGAAUUUCCAGUGGAGCGGUGAAAUGCGUAGAGAUUGGAAAGAACACCAAUGGCGAAAGCACUUUACUGGGCUAUGACUGACACUGAGAGACGAAAGCUAGGGGAGCGAAUGGG